rnacentral:lncRNA from 1 species
UUUGAUAUUCACUCAAUUGUUGUGUUAAUCAUCGAAAUAAUACUAUCAUCCUCAAUCUUCUCCUUUUUGAUGAUUACAAAACAUUGAGUAUCCUUAAAUUGGCAUUUAUAUAUGAAUUGAGGUUUAAAGUUUAGAAAAUGAUUUCAAGGCUGAAAAUUCAGAAUUUUCUGAGUUAUAGGAUGUGCCAACCAAAAGCUCCCCCUUUCUAAUCCAAAUCUAUGCCAAAUGAAAUUUAGUUUUGCUCCCCCUUACUCUUGUGUUUUAUUUAAGAUAAGACUUCAAGAAUUUGUACCAAUGUAAGAGUUUCAAGUUAUGUAUCGAAGCAAGUGUCGUAUGUGCCAUUAAUUUAGAAUCUUUGAUUAAAC